AUACUUACCUGGCAGGGGCGAUACCAUGAUCAUGAAGGUGGCUCUGCCAUUGUGCAUUGGUGGUGUUGACCCUUGCGAAUUCCCCAGAUGCAUGAAUCUCAACUACAUAAUUUCUGGUAGUGGGGGACUGCGUUCGCGCUCUCCCCUG
ensembl:snRNA U1 U1 spliceosomal RNA